rnacentral:rRNA from 1 species
UUCCAGACUCCUACGGGAGGCAGCAGUGGGGAAUAUUGCACAAUGGGGGAAACCCUGAUGCAGCGACGCCGCGUGAGCGAGGAAGUAUUUCGGUAUGUAAAGCUCUGUCAGCAGGGAAGAAGAAUGACGGUACCUGAAGAAGAAGCACCGGCUAAAUACGUGCCAGCAGCCGCGGUAAUACGUAUGGUGCAAGCGUUAUCCGGAUUUACUGGGUGUAAAGGGAGCGCAGGCGGUUCUGCAAGUCUGAUGUGAAAGCCCGGGGCUCAACCGCGGGACUGCAUUGGAAACUGCGGGACUGGAGUGUCGGAGGGGUAAGCGGAAUUCCUGGUGUAGCGGUGAAAUGCGUAGAUAUCAGGAGGAACACCGGUGGCGAAGGCGGCUUACUGGACGAUGACUGACGCUGAGGCUCGAAAGCGUGGGGAGCAAACAGGAUUAGAUACCCUUGUAA